AUUCCUACAUAUCUUAUCCACAAACAGACCAUCGUCGUGGUGGAGGGUUUAGAUGCCACAGAUGUCACUUAUGACAUGUUCAAACCUAAGACAGGUCGAAUUGUGCAUGAGGUGGAGCUGGAUGUUGUUUCUAUAGCCUCAGAGAUCAUGUCAAAAGUAAGGCUACCAUGGACCUUAGAUGUACAUCCAACAGAGCCAUGGAUAAUGAUGACUCAAGGAGAUUACCACGUUCAUAUAUGGAACUAUAAGACACGGGCAAGUUACUUAACUCAUAGUUAACAAUGUACUAUGCAUGUAGGAAUGGAUUUUGUGCUGCCAAGAGUUUUAAAACAAAUUCUUGUAUUUUCAAACAUUACACCUGCAUGCAGGGCCGUUCCUGACUUUAUAGAGGCCCGGGGCGAACUUAAAAA